AAUCAAAGGUUAAAUUAUUAUCUUAAUUAUGAUCAAGCAUGGAUUUUUGGUUUGGUUCAAGUUGGGUCAAGGGUUGAACCCAAUUGAACAUCCAAACCUUAGCAUAUCUUAGAGAUAUGUUUUAAAUAUAAAAUAAAUGAUGUAUGCAUAGAAUUUUUUUUGAGUAGCCUAGUACUCAAAUUGAAGUUCAUCACUAGACCGUCC
rnacentral:lncRNA from 1 species